GAUGAACGCUGGCGGCGUGCCUAAUACAUGCAAGUCGAGCGAACAGACGAGGAGCUUGCUCCUCUGACGUUAGCGGCGGACGGGUGAGUAACACGUGGAUAACCUACCUAUAAGACUGGGAUAACUUCGGGAAACCGGAGCUAAUACCGGAUAAUAUAUUGAACCGCAUGGUUCAAUAGUGAAAGACGGUUUUGCUGUCGCUUAUAGAUGGAUCCGCGCCGCAUUAGCUAGUUGGUAAGGUAACGGCUUACCAAGGCAACGAUGCGUAGCCGACCUGAGAGGGUGAUCGGCCGCACUGGAACUGAGACACGGUCCAGACUCCUACGGGAGGCAGCAGUAGGGAAUCUUCCGCAAUGGGCGAAAGCCUGACGGAGCAACGCCGCGUGAGUGAUGAAGGUCUUCGGAUCGUAAAACCCUGUUAUUAGGGAAGAACAAAUGUGUAAGUAACUAUGCACGUCUUGACGGUACCUAAUCAGAAAGCCACGGCUAACUACGUG
rnacentral:rRNA from 1 species